rnacentral:rRNA from 1 species
UACGUAGGGGGCAAGCGUUGUCCGGAAUUAUUGGGCGUAAAGCGCGUGUAGGCGGCUAUACAAGUCCGUUGUGAAAACUCGAGGCUCAACCUCGAGAUGUCGAUGGAAACCGUCUGGCUAGAGUCCGGAAGAGGAGUGUGGAAUUCCUGGUGUAGCGGUGAAAUGCGCAGAUAUCAGGAAGAACACCGAUGGCGAAGGCAGCACUCUGGGACGGUACUGACGCUGAGACGCGAAAGCGUGGGGAGCGAACAGG